rnacentral:rRNA from 1 species
GACGAACGCUGGCGGCGUGCCUAAUACAUGCAAGUUGAGCGAUGAAGAUUGGUGCUUGCACCAAUUUGAAGAGCAGCGAACGGGUGAGUAACGCGUGGGGAAUCUGCCUUUGAGCGGGGGACAACAUUUGGAAACGAAUGCUAAUACCGCAUAACAACUUUAAACAUAAGUUUUAAGUUUGAAAGAUGCAAUUGCAUCACUCAAAGAUGAUCCCGCGUUGUAUUAGCUAGUUGGUGAGGUAAAGGCUCACCAAGGCGAUGAUACAUAGCCGGCCGGAGAGGGUGGUCGGCCACAUUGGGACUGAGACACGGCCCAAACUCCUACGGGAGGCAGCAGUAGGGAAUCUUCGGCAAUGGACGAAAGUCUGACCGGGCAACGCCGCGUGAGUGAAGAAGGUUUUCGGAUCGUAAAACUCUGUUGGUAGAGAAGAACGGUGGUGAGAGUGGAAAGCUCAUCAAGUGACGGUAACUACCCAGAAAGGGACGGCUAACUACGUG